rnacentral:lncRNA from 1 species
GUCUUCGUGUCCAGAACUUGUUUUUCUGAGCCUGUGAACAAGGCUAGCCUGAAAGUCUGGCCUACCUCCACACCUCCCCCAAAGCCCACUCCAUUUUUAUAUUGCUCCGAGGUUAAUAGCCAUGUCGUGUGGGGUCAUAGAAGACAUCUGUGUCUCAGAUAAUAUGCUUACGGUGAUUACCACACAUAAUUGACUGACCUCCCCUCAUUCUUUCCCUGCUGCAGGCCGCGGCUGAUAGGAUGAAGCAAGCCACAAGAGCUUAUUUUCCAUCACACACCAUUGUGCUGCUGAGCAAAUAUUUUAGCAAGCUUUGAAUGAACCACCUUUUCAAGCUCUAGGUUUUCAGAGUGAAAAGAUCCACCUAGAAUUGUCAAUUCACCAACAUUUCACGGCUGCAGGUGCCUUUCCAGGGGAGGAGAAAAUGGAAGGCAUGGAAGAGAAGAGCUAAAAGGCUGCCAGAGGCUGGUACCCAAGCGCCUCAGUGGAUUCACAGGACCAUGGAAGAGGGGACUGCAUUUCUCCAGAGCAGACAACCCUUGGUGGAGAAACUGAGGCCCCACAGAUAAGUAAAUUUCAGAGCUAAAGCAGAGCCUGGGGCCUUGCCUCCCAAUUCAGUGCUUUCUGUCUGUCUAGAAUCAGCACCCAGGCCUCACUGGCACCUCAGCCAAAGGUGUUUCCAUGAUCUUCAGAGGCCCAGCCUGGGUGAGCUGACAGGCUACUCUGGGCAGCAGGGAGGAGGUGACAGAGAAGGAGUUCAGGGAACAGGAAUGUCCAACUAGCAAGUGUCAACCACAAAGCAGAAGGACCUCAGGAACUUCUCCCUGUGGAUAGGAACAGUGGUCUGCCAAGGAAUUUCAUCUUAUGUGCCUAUGAAAGCUUUCAAACAUAUAAUUAUGUAAUUUACUUCUUCGAACUGGUGCAGUUGACGAUGAGAUGGCAGCCUGCUCCAUCUCCGCUGUGCCCCACAGCUUUCCUGGAAUUUUUUUUCUGAACUCUCUAGCACAGGGUUGGCCGUUUCUUGUACAUCUUCUCAGCAAAAAGCGCCCAGAGACCCUAGGAACAUCACAAGAGGGACCUUAGACAAGAGAAUUUUACACUUUACCACAGGGAGCUGUGGGCCACCAUUGAAGAUGUGAUCAUUCAAUCAACAUUGAUUGCCACUGUGCAGGGGGCUGCGGAAAAUACAGGAAAAACCAAAGUUCACAGCUCACCAUGCCAAGGGUAGGGACAGCUGAGGAGGAUCAUCUGGAUCUAUUGAGAACAAAGCACUGGAGAGAGGCUGAAAGUCACCUUACCGGGGCUGGCUGCAACAUCUCGAUCCCUCCACCAAUUCAGCCUGAUCCUCCGAGGCCUAGAACUUGGCUGCCCAUAUUCUGGAUCCCUUCCUGCAAGCUCAGCAUCUGAUAGGACCAAGUCUGAUCAGCAGUGGCUGAAGAAUCACACACAUAUAAGAGGAGGUGGGUGUGGACGGGGAAUCGACUCCAGCCCUAGCAAGUUAUGGCUCUCCUCUGGACACGAAUCUCCCUUGCAGAAGAAUCAGAUGCGUCCUAUAACAAGUGCUCCUGUACCUUGUACCAGGAGAUGUGAAGGGGCCGUUAUGGAGCCUUCUCCACUCCUGGGGUCUUGCCUGAGUCUCGCGGAUGCAGGUAUGAAGCAGCACAAAGAGAAACAACAGUGGUGGAGAGGCAUACGGUCUCACCGGGGAGUAUACACUGGUGUUUUCCAGAAGCUACGCAAUGUGCAAUAUGACGAAAGACCGACUACAGAAGCAGAGUGCCACUCUUGUUGCCCAGGCUGGAGUGCAAUGGCACAAUCUUGGCUCACUGCAACCUCCACCUCUCCACCUCCCAAGUUCAAGCAAUUCUCCUGCCUCA